rnacentral:lncRNA from 1 species
CUCUGUUUCCGGGUCAUAGGGGCAUUUCCUGUUGCCUGGCGGCGGCUCCCCCCGGACCCUCGACUGUGCAGUGAAUGUCCACAAGAACUGCAAGACCUUACUGGCUGAAUGCAGCAGUACCAGACCCAAGCAGAAGGAUUUGCAACACAGACCUCCUGGAUCCCCACAAAGUUCACCCCAGUGCUUUUACCCAGCAGCCUCUCUGAAGGAGCAGCCCCAAAGUGCCCUUCUGGGAUCGGAUGGCACCCCAG